rnacentral:tRNA from 1 species
GGCCCUAUGGUGUAACGGUUAGCACUCUGGACUCUGAAUCCAGCGAUCCGAGUUCAAAUCUCGGUAGGACCU